CCAAAUCAACCCAAUUAGCAAGUUGGUGUAAUUGUUGCAAUUAACUCUUCCCUGGAAAAACAAAACAUAAAACUUUCAGUUAUAUUUUCUGGUAUUAUUUCCUUUGUAUUUUCUUAUUAAUGCUAUGUUCAAUCAUUUGUUUUCGUGCUCACAAAAGCCACUUGAGCUUGCCGUCCCAUCCACUGGUGCUGCGCCGCAAUCGACAGGAACUGCCCCAAGAAAACCACUCAGGUUGAGGUUAACGACUUUGGGGAAACCGAAGCCAGCUGAAGGAACUUCCUGAAUGGAAUUGCCCAGGAGCCAACAUACCUAGAGCUUGUUUUUCCUUGUAUUGAAGCAAGGAUAUGUGGAAGCGCUCGGCACAUAGCCUGCUUUGGCACUGCGAGUUGAAACGAAAUGGAAAACGGAGGCCGCCUGACGUAAAUGAGUGCGAUUGUAAUAAAUUGUAUGUAGUUCAUAGCUGGGUUGGUAUCAGAGUUCACCAUUUCGUUUUUGCUGUAGCGAAUUUCGUUUUUUUAACCAAAGUUUGACUCUUAUAUUUUUUGAAUUUGGAACCAAAAUCCAUAAAAAACCUGACCGAAAUUCGCAUCUUGGUCAACAGCGAGCAGCGAAAAUUGGAAAUUUCACCAAAAUUCGGUGAUUUCCGAGAAACGAAUCCGUGGUUGGGCAUAGAUGUACGCAGCGGUACAUUUUCUCGACGACUUAGCUAUGCUUGUAAUUGCAAUGAUGUUCAAACGGAAGUGGAUAUCGUCUUUGAAGCAU
rnacentral:lncRNA from 1 species